AUGCACCCCGGGCACUCCUCACUCGGGCCUCUUUUUGUUCUCGCCCGUGCUCGCCGAAAGCGCCCACCCCAGCCGCUACUACGAAUUUACGGGCGCCACGCACACGCGUGCGCGCCCGGGGCCCAGCCUGCGUUUUCCGAAUGCCGUGGAACGCGCGCUGACCCCAGGGCAGCGCCGCGUUUACGGGAAAGGCAGCGAUGUUCCCCGGGCGCGGCUGCACGGCGGGGGCUGCGGCACCCGCGACCCGCCGGCAUAAGGGGCAAACUCAUCCAUCGUUACUGGUUUUGCUGUUCGCUGCCAGCGAAAGCCCGUAGCCGCAGACCGCCAGGAGAAUCCAUCCCGACAGCCAGGCUGGAUUUUUGUGGCUUGAAAUGCCUACGGAAGAUCUGGCAUUAUUGUCUUGGCAUUAUUAUUUCCUGUUUUGUCAUGCAAAAUGUGUAUGCUGAAAAUGCUGCCACCUGUGCAAGAGCACAUCAGGAGAGAUGGCAACAAACCAGGACACAAUUCAUGGAGAUGAGGUGCACCAACACACUCUGGCAAGAAGAGGUUUACACUGAGUAAGGCAGACUUCUGAGCACACAUGGCCAUCUCUGGGUAAGUUGUAGAAGCAAAUUUCAGAGCUUGGCAGAAGUAGAGGGGAGCUGCUCUAAGCCAAAUUGGGUGCGUGUAAGUUUGGCCACCCAGCAGAAAAGGUAUCUGGUACUUGCUCAGCAAAAUGGAGAGAUUU
rnacentral:lncRNA from 1 species